rnacentral:tRNA from 1 species
GGUGGCUCAGUGGAGAGCACUUGCCUUGCAUGCAUGAGGCCGUGGGUUCAAUUCCUCAGCACCA